GACGAACGCUGGCGGCGUGCUUAACACAUGCAGGUCGAACGAUGAAGCCUAGCUUGCUAGGUGGAUUAGUGGCGAACGGGUGAGUAAUACGUGAGUGACCUACCUUUGACUCUGGGAUAAGCCUGGGAAACUGGGUCUAAUACCGGAUACGACCAAUCUCCGCAUGGGGUGUUGGUGGAAAGCGUUAUGGAGUGGUUUUAGAUGGGCUCACGGCCUAUCAGCUUGUUGGUGGGGUAAUGGCCUACCAAGGCGUCGACGGGUAGCCGGCCUGAGAGGGUGGACGGCCACAUUGGGACUGAGAUACGGCCCAGACUCCUACGGGGGGCAGCAGUGGGGAAUAUUGCACAAUGGGCGCAAGCCUGAUGCAGCGACGCCGCGUGGGGGAUGACGGCCUUCGGGUUGUAAACUCCUUUCGUUAGGGACGAAGCCGCACCUUUUUUGGGUGUGGUGACGGUACCUUUGUUAAGAAGCACCGGCUAACUACGUGCCAGCAGCCGCGGUAAUACGUAGGGUGCGAGCGUUGUCCGGAAUUACUGGGCGUAAAGAGCUCGUAGGUGGUUUGUUGCGUCGUCUGUGAAAUUCCGGGGCUUAACUUCGGGGUGGCAGGCGAUACGGGCAUAACUAGAGUGCUGUAGGGGAGACUGGAAUUCCUGGUGUAGCGGUGGAAUGCGCAGAUAUCAGGAGGAACACCGAUGGCGAAGGCAGGUCUCUGGGCAGUAACUGACGCUGAGGAGCGAAAGCAUGGGGAGCGAACAGGAUUAGAUACCCUGGUAGUCCAUGCUGUAAACGGUGGGCGUUAGGUGUGGGGGCCGGUUUGGUUUCUGUGCCGUAGCUAACGCAUUAAGCGCCCCGCCUGGGGAGUACGGCCGCAAGGCUAAAACUCAAAGGAAUUGACGGGGGCCCGCACAAGCGGCGGAGCAUGUGGAUUAAUUCGAUGCAACGCGAAGAACCUUACCUGGGUUUGACAUGCACCAGACGGUUGUAGAGAUACGUACCUCCCUUUGUGGUUGGUGUGCAGGUGGUGCAUGGUUGUCGUCAGCUCGUGUCGUGAGAUGUUGGGUUAAGUCCCGCAACGAGCGCAACCCUUGUCUUAUGUUGCCAGCACUUUGGGUGGGGACUCAUGAGAGACUGCCGGGGUUAACUCGGAGGAAGGUGGGGAUGACGUCAAAUCAUCAUGCCCUUUAUGCCCAGGGCUUCACACAUGCUACAAUGGUUAGUACAACGCGCUGCGAGCCUGUGAGGGUGAGCGAAUCGCUGAAAGCUAAUCUCAGUUCGGAUUGGGGUCUGCAACUCGACCCCAUGAAGUCGGAGUCGCUAGUAAUCGCAGAUCAGCAAUGCUGCGGUGAAUACGUUCCCGGGCCU
rnacentral:rRNA from 1 species